AUAUAUUGCUGGCAAGCAGGCGCACCAUGAACACAAAGGUGGUUUCCCGGGGUGAGCCUCAUCCGUUGUACUUCAGAUAUGCUGGCCCCUGCAAUUUCCCCAAACGCAACAAACUCAACUACACAAUCUGUGGUGGUGAGGACUGUGCUCCUGAUCUCUCCUUA
rnacentral:snRNA from 11 species